AAUGAGCGGCGGACGGGUGAGUAACACGUAAAGAACCUGCCCAUAGGUCUGGGAUAACCACGAGAAAUCGGGGCUAAUACCGGAUGUGUCAUCGGACCGCAUGGUCCGCUGAUGAAAGGCGCUCCGGCGUCGCCCAUGGAUGGCUUUGCGGUGCAUUAGCUAGUUGGUGGGGUAACGGCCCACCAAGGCGACGAUGCAUAGCCGACCUGAGAGGGUGAUCGGCCACACUGGGACUGAGACACGGCCCAGACUCCUACGGGAGGCAGCAGUAGGGAAUCUUCCACAAUGGACGAAAGUCUGAUGGAGCAACGCCGCGUGAACGAUGAAGGCUUUCGGGUCGUAAAGUUCUGUUGUAAGGGAAGAACAAGUGCCGCAGGCAAUGGCGGCACCUUGACGGUACCUUGCGAGAAAGCCACGGCUAACUACGUGCCAGCAGCCGCGGUAAUACGUAGGUGGCAAGCGUUGUCCGGAAUUAUUGGGCGUAAAGCGCGCGCAGGCGGCCUCUUAAGUCUGAUGUGAAAGCCCCCGGCUCAACCGGGGAGGGCCAUUGGAAACUGGGAGGCUUGAGUAUAGGAGAGAAGAGUGGAAUUCCACGUGUAGCGGUGAAAUGCGUAGAGAUGUGGAGGAACACCAGUGGCGAAGGCGACUCUUUGGCCUAUAACUGACGCUGAGGCGCGAAAGCGUGGGGAGCAAACAGGAUU
rnacentral:rRNA from 1 species